GCCUAGUGAUGUGGACAUUUAUGAAGUACGUCCCUAAAGCACUCCUAAGUCUCGAAAAAGAAUUCCCCAUCGAUCUGUGAGAAACUUGUGAUGGCUCUCUGAAGUU